UACUUCAACUAUAAAAGCACCAA
rnacentral:tRNA from 7 species